AACGUAGGACGCAAGCGUUAUCCGGAGUUACUGGGCGUAAAGCGCGCGCAGGCGGCUCGACAAGUUCGCUGUGAAAGCUCCCGGCUCAACCGGGCGAGGCCAGUGGAAACUAUCGAGCUGGAGGGCAGUAGAGGCAGGCGGAAUUCCGGGUGGAGUGGUGAAAUGCGUAGAUAUCCGGAGGAACACCAGUGGCGAAGGCGACUUUCUGGCCUGUUCUUGACGCUGAGGCGCGAAAGCUAGGGGAGCAAACGGG
rnacentral:rRNA from 1 species